rnacentral:rRNA from 1 species
GACGAACGCUGGCGGCGCGCUUAACACAUGCAAGUCGAACGGAAAGGCCUGCUUUCCCUUGUGGAUUGCGGGUACUCGAGUGGCGAACGGGUGAGUAACACGUGAGUGAUCUGCCCCCAACUUGGGUAUAAGCCUGGGAAACUGGGUCUAAUUCCCGAUAGGACUGCAGGGUGGUGCCUGUGGUGGAAAACGAUUUUCUAGUGGUUGGGGAUGAGCUCGCGGCCUAUCAGCUUGUUGGUGGGGUAAUGGCCUACCAAGGCGGCGACGGGUAGCCGGCCUGGGAGGGUGGACGGCCACAGUGGAACGGAGAUACGGCCCAGACUCCUACGGGAGGCAGCAGUGGGGAAUAAUGCACAAUGGGCGGAAGCCUGAUGCAGCGACGCCGCGUGGGGGAUGACGGCCUUCGGGUGGUAAACUCCUUUCGACCGCGAGGAAGCCACCUGGUUGGAAGGGUGGUGACGGUAGUGGUAGAAGAAGCACCGGCUAACUACGUG